UACGUAGGGGGCUAGCGUUGUCCGGAUUUAUUGGGCGUAAAGAGCGUGUAGGCGGCCAGGUAGGUCCGUUGUGAAAACUCGAGGCUCAACCUCGAGAUGUCGGCGGAAACCAUCUGGCUAGAGUCCGGAAGAGGAGAGUGGAAUUCCUGGUGUAGCGGUGAAAUGCGCAGAUAUCAGGAAGAACACCCGUGGCGAAGGCGGCUCUCUGGGACGGUACUGACGCUGAGACGCGAAAGCGUGGGGGAGCAAACAGG
rnacentral:rRNA from 1 species